rnacentral:rRNA from 1 species
UUGAGCUUGAUCCCUGGCUCAGGAUGAACGCUAGCGGCAGGCUUAACACAUGCAAGUCGAGGGGUAUUGGUCUUCGGACCAAGAGACCGGCGCACGGGUGCGUAACGCGUAUGCAAUCUACCUUUUGCAGAGGGAUAGCCCAGAGAAAUUUGGAUUAAUACCUCAUAGUAUAGCAGUUUCGCAUGAAACCACUAUUAAAGUCACAACGGCAAAAGAUGAGCAUGCGUCCCAUUAGCUAGUUGGUAAGGUAACGGCUUACCAAGGCUACGAUGGGUAGGGGUCCUGAGAGGGAGAUCCCCCACACUGGUACUGAGACACGGACCAGACUCCUACGGGAGGCAGCAGUGAGGAAUAUUGGACAAUGGGCGCAAGCCUGAUCCAGCCAUGCCGCGUGCAGGAUGACGGUCCUAUGGAUUGUAAACUGCUUUUGUACAGGAAGAAACACUCCCUCGUGAGGGAGCUUGACGGUACUGUAAGAAUAAGGAUCG